GGCGCGGCGGCAGUGCGUGAGGCGGAGGGCUGCGGCGCUGGGCCGGGCCUGCGGGACGUGGGGGGCGCAGAGCAGGCGGCCACUUUUGUUCUGACGGCGUCAGACGCGCGGCACGCGAGGGGAGGGCGCUCUGGUCUCGAGCUUGGGCCCCCAGGCGCGGAGUCGGCGCUGGUCCGGGCCCGGCCCGUCCGGUCCCGCCCCAGCAGCCCUGCCUCUUCGCUGCUGGCUCCUCGCCUCCUUGCUCGCGAGCCUGCCGGGUGACAUCGGACUAGGAAGACGCCAGCGCAGUUCGUGCCUCUUCCCCUCGCCCUACGCUAGUGAUGGCGAAGUGGCGUCUGCAGGUUACAGACUGUCCUCGGCUCUCCCAACCGGCCAGCUUGACUCGGAAGUCCUUCUUAUCUUCAGGGAAUCACCAGCACCUGUUUCCUAAGCCAGAAACCUUCUGAGUCUCUUCAGAGGACACUCGAUGGGACACACGGGUAAGAGAACAAGUAACAGGUCUCGCCUGCCUACCUUUAGCUGGGCACCACUGUCAACUUCAGAAUGCCUUGAGUGUAGCAGGCCACUGCCACACCUCCACACAGUCCUAGCGAUAAGGAAACAAAGCCUAGAAGGGAUGAGCCACCAAGGACUGCCUCUUCUUCUCACAAACCUCACCCUCUGUGUGCCAGAGACCACAUUCAGUGAUGGAGGAGUCCCUGCUUCCAGAAAGUUCAGGUUAGAGGCACAGAAGAGUAACAAGUGCAGAAUAAAUCAAGGGCAGUUUUCUGAGAAAAGUUCACCGGCUUUACCCACUAGUGGAUGUGUAAACCUGUGUGUCCAGACGGUGUAACAGUAUUUGGUCAGAGAAAGGAAUGCUGGCACUGAUACAACAUGAAAAUUAUGCUCAGAAAGGAUACAGUCAACAAGACAAAACAGCAGCCUGAGAUUGGGAAAAGAUCUUCACCAACCCCACGUCAGACAGAGGACUGAUCUCCAAAAUAUACAAAGAACUCAAGA